rnacentral:lncRNA from 1 species
CUCCACCGAUUUUCCUCCAAGAAAAUGGCCAUGGAAGAUUGAAAAUUUUCAGCAACUUAAAGCAUUUGCAAGUAAGUGAAUUUGGGGGCUUUUCUUGAAUAUUUUUGUACUUUUGAGAUCCUUGUAGCAUGAGCUUUCUAACAAUAGGACUAUUUUGCAAAAUAGUUGAAAGUAUAGGGUUUUGCCAUGAUAUUAGACAUGUUUAUUUCUAAUAUUUUAUGGAAGAAUAUGAGUUAUGGUUGUGAAAUAAACAACUUUUGUGAAGUAGUUUUCAUGGAAACCCUAACUAAGGACCAUUUUGCAUAAAUUGUGAAAUAGAUGUUUCAUGUGUGAAUAAUGAGACUUGUGGGCUGCUUCUAGUAUAAAAAGUAUUCGGCUAGGCUUGGUUAGUGAGAAAAUGUGAUAAAAAAUCGAUUUUCGAAUCUAGGGAUAAAAUAGUCAUUUUGUGAAAGUUUAGGGGAAAAAUGAUCAUUUUGCUUAAUUAUGAAUUUUCGAGUGCCUAGAUUAAUAUGUUGAUGAAAUGAAUGAAUUUCUAUCAUUUUAAAUCAAGAAUUACAAAAUUCGGGCCUAGACCGAGGAAAAGCAAAUCAAGUGUACUAAGCCGAACUAGUUGCCUACAUUUUGAAUACCAAGGUAAGUUGUAUGUAAAUAAUACAACUAUAUUGUUAUUAUAUGCUUUUGAAUUGAUAUAGCAUAAAUUGCUUAUUUGUGGAAAUGAUUUUGUACGUUGAAUAUUGAGAUUGUAGAACUCCUGUUUGAACCUUAGAAAAUAAAUCGGAUAUUCAUGCUAUGACAUUCGAGUUAUUUGUGUGCUAGUGUAAGACAUGUCUGGGACAUGUAUCAGCCACAUUAUGAGAGCCAGUAUAAGACCAUGUCUGGGACAUGGCAUUGGCAUUGAUACUAGAGUUAGUGUAAGACAUGUCUGAGACAUGCAUCGGCUACGAGAUGUGUCAGUGUAAGACCAUGUCUGGGACAUGGCAUCGGCACGUAUAGAGGUGUCAGUGUAAGACCAUGUCUAGGACAUGGCAUCGGCACGGAGAUGUGAAAGCCAAUGUAAGACCAUGUCUGGGACAUGGCGUUAACCUCGAUUUCGAUAGUCAGUGCAAGACCAUGUCUGGGACAUGACAUCGACUUGAUGGAUGAGCCAGCGUAAGACCAUGUCUAGGACAUGGCAUCGACAUUACACCCUAUGUUUAAGGCUCAAUGAAUAACUGAUAGCAUUCCAAAUGGUUCAACGGUGAGAGUUACAGUUUAAGUUAAAAGAGGAAAGUAUAACCAUGUUGUGAGUGGUACAGGUACCUAUUUGAAAUGUUUGAGAUGUGAGCUCAAUAUAUGCUAUGUGAAGUGUAUUGGAUAGUGAUGAGUAAGUUGUGCUUAUGCCUACUUUAGUACUAAGAGCAUGAUGAUGAAUGGUAAAGUUGUUAUAUUUAUUACAUGCAACUUACUAAGCUUUAUGCUUACUCCCUCUUCUUUCCAUUUUCUUAUAGUGUCGCCUAUUUAGCUCGAGGAUCAUCGGAAGUCGGAGGCAUCGAUCAUACUAUCAUCUGAAGCACUUGGUAUAGUUAGAUCUAUUAUUUUUAGUUAUGGCAUGUAUAGGACCUUGACUUUUGAGUUUUGUGUCAUUGUUAAUUUUCCAAAUGUGUUGGCUUGCUUUAGCAUUUGAUUCAUUUUGUAUAAAGCCAUG